CUCUCUCUCUCCUCUCCUCUCCAAAUCGACGCAGCAGUGCCGAAGGGCGGCGGCGCAUGAUGGAUGUCACUGUCUGCGACGGAGGAUCCAAGAGUCGGCGAUGGUGACGGAUUUGGUUUUUGAAGAUGGAUUAAUCGCGAUGGCUAACAGAUUUGCCUUUGAGAUUCCAUUGCGUGUUCGGUUAUGGCAUAGCGCUUCCAAUCUCUGUCCCAGACGCCGCCAUCCGCUGGAAACUUGCCACCACUGCCGCCGCUCCUCCUCUGCCUCCCGAUCCUUGUCUCGCCAAACAACAGAUUUUCACACCCUCGUCCGCCGCCAUCCUUCUCCAGCCGUGCCGCUACUACUCCUCUCUCGAACUAGAGCUUUGCCAUUGAUGGUAGAUCUCUCUCCGCCGCCACCGCAUCAUUUGUGAUCUCGUCCAGAUUACGAAGAGGAAAAAGGGGCGAGAUUUCUCUCUCUCCAUCGUCUCUCUCCCUUAUUCAAACACAGAAUAGAAGCAAAAUGAGAGAGAGUUAGAAACGUUGUCUCUCACAUGGCGGUGAACGAGACGGCGGUGGUGCCGGAUCUGGAUCCUUCAAAGCCCGACCAAAAUAGCAAGUGAAUAAUCACCCUGUAAUCAUCAAUAUUGGGAUCGUAACAAAUUCCGUGAAGUCCAAAGUCAUUGAACUCAAAAGAGGGCCAAAUUUCCUUGUAUGAUCUGAUCGAUGGGUUCCACAAAACAAAAGACUUGCUGGGAUUUCUGGUGAAGAGAAAGGGCUUGUAAGAAACAGACAAGAGAACCAACCCAUCACAGGAACACAAGGGUUUCGUCUUCUUUUCUACUAACUUCAACUAUCCAACUGCUACUAGUAGUGAGUGAGAAAGAAGCGGGUCUGUGCUUUAAGGUCUCUGCUUUUUAUAGGCCAUUUUUUGCUUUUCUCUUGUUUAUCUUCAUGGGUUUGUUCUUAUCUUUUGACAGGUAGUGUCUGAUGAUCAAGAAAAGUUAUUGAGAAACUACAUUUUGCUUGUGAAUUUGUUUGAUUCUUUCUUGCAA